rnacentral:rRNA from 1 species
AUGGAGGUGGUGAGUGCUUCCCAUGGCGUCUUGGGUUCCCUGCUGCGGAAGCUCACCGGUUUGCUCGCCGGUGAGUGUGCCCGCCUCAAAGGCGUCCGCCGCGAGAUCCGCUCGCUCAAAGCCGAGCUGACCAGCAUGCAUGGCGCGGUCGAGAAGUACACAAUGAUGCAAGAUCCCGAUGUUCAGGUUAAGAAGUGGAUGUCGCUGGUGAGGGAGCUGACCUAUGACAUUGAGGAUGUCAUCGACAAGUUCAUCCACCAGCUCAGUAAUGAGAGCCACCAGCACCAGGGUGGCUUUAAGGAGUUCUUCCGCAAGACUGCUCGCCGGCUCAAGACUAUGGGCUCUCGCCGUGGAAUCGCCAACCAAAUCGAUGAUCUGAAGAUUCGUCUCAAGCAGGGAUGA